AGACAAAUCAUUUCCAUAGAGAGGAGGCUUUGCAUGGUCAGCUGAUCCUCCAGUGAACUGAGAAGGUUUAUAGUCCUGUGAGUUCAACACUGCAGGACUCAGAUCUGUCAGUCAACACAGCAGAAAGCACAACCACCAUGACUCUCAUCACCAUCCUCAUGUGGACGCUGGCCUGCUGCUGUUUUACAGGUUGCAGCGGUCAGGUGACUGUGACUCAGCCUGCAGCAGUGACAUUUACUCCAGGAUCCACAGUCACUCUCACCUGCAAAACAAGCCAGGCUGUUGACAGAUGGUCUGAUGGUGAUGAGGGUAUGUACUGGUACCAACAUAAACCUGGACAGCCUCCAAAGCUCUUAAUAAGAUAUGCCAAAAAGCUUGAAUCAGGAACACCAGCUCGGUUCAGUGGCAGUGGAAGCAGCUCUGACUUCAGUUUGAGCAUCAGUGGAGUUCAGAGUGAAGAUGCAGCAGUUUAUUACUGUCAGAGUUUCCAUUAUAUAAACAGUGCGUAUGUGUUCACACAGUGAUUUGUAGUCGUACAAAAUCCUCCCUCAGUCAGACUGCAGAGACUCUGAGCUGUUACAGCAGGAACCGACUGCAGCUGCUGAAGAGGAAGAGACUCUGACACAGACCA